ensembl:lncRNA
AUUGAAGUGUCCAAUCAGAAUCAUUUAUUUCACCUCGGUUCAUGGCAUGCUGUAUCGAUAUAUCCUCAUCAGAGGAAAGAUAUUCAAGCCAUUGGAUUGAGCUGUUUGAGAAUGUCUUCUGAUAGUGGUGGACAUUUUUUAAAUUGCACCAGCUGCACAAAAAUGUGUGAUGCAUUUAUGGUGAAACAGAUCCAAACGCUGGUUAAGAUUACAAUUGUUUCAUUAUGUGACUGCGAUUUUCACACACACACACGUAAUGUCACUGAGAAUGAGCUGCACAGUUGAAGUUUACAUACACUUAGGUUGAAGUAAUUGAAAAAAAUUAUCUACCACUCCACAGAUUUCAUGUUAACAAACUAUAGUUUUGGCAAGUCGGUUAGGACAUCUACUUUGAGCAUCACACAAGUAAUUUUUCCAAAGAUUGUUUACUUUCACGAUUUCACAGGGGACGGAGGCAAGCGAAGGGUUGAAGGAAGGAGAUUUUAAUAUAAACAAAAAGGAAAACAAAAAUGAGCGGUGUGCGCUACAGAAUACACCAUUUGAAAGGACACAAGAACAUGAAACGUCACACUACAACAAUGACCUACAGGAACGGAGAGAAAAUGGCUGAACUAAGACAUGGACUAACAAUGUGAACAGAAACAGGUGGGGGCUAAACACAGGUGAAAGGAAUAAACCAAUUAACUGAAACGAGAACUGGAAAGACCAAACAAGAACAAGUCAAACCAAGGACACAAAGAAAACAUGGAGCGGUAUUGCCCGGUUGGCUGGAACCGUCACAUUUACAGAUAUUAUUUCACCUAUAAUUCACUAUAUCACAAUUCCAACUGUUUUUCAAAAGGAUAUAUAAAAACAGGGGGCACCAGGAGGGCAUUUUCCGCCAAAUAAAAAAAUACAAGCGUACAAAAAGAAAAAUACCAAACAUUUUCGCCAAGUGAAUAGGCUAUGAAAAAGGUGUUAAUUCAAACUCUAGUGCACAGGUCCAGACUUGUAGUUUUAUCACAUGCAUUGUUUGUCCAUGAAUAAGCUAUAGAAAAACCGAGAGAAGUUUUUGGAAAAAUACAACAUCCUUUUUUCCAUGUAAAUAGACUACAAAAAUGCCCUUGCGGAUCUACAAACCCCAUUCCAAAAAAGUUGGGACACUGUACAACUGUGAAUAAAAACAGAAUGCAAUGAUGUGGAAGUUUCAAAUUUCAAUAUUUUA